rnacentral:lncRNA from 1 species
UUCGGGCACGCCAACAGACCGCCAAACGGACAGGGUUUUCUCUGCACACGGACAGAGUCUCCCCUGUACGUUCAAGGCGUCGCAAUCAAUACAAGUACGAGAGGUUCCAAACAGGAAUAAUUUUUCAACAACGAUUGCAUAAGAAAGGUAUCAAACAACAUAACACAUCCUAUGUUAUUACAAUCAUUCAUCUCAUCAUUUUACAUCGCAUUUUUCAUUACAUUGAUCCUCAACUUCCAAAUAUACAAUCGAUUUCUAAACAUAAUAUUACAACAUCGAUUCUUUUCUUUUCUUUUCUUAUACCCCUAAAAAGCCGACUCAGGGUGCUGCUAUCUGGUCUUUGUGGUAGGGCGCUAACUACAGAGCUACGCCCUUUCCUCGCGCCGCCGCGCCGUUCGCGUGUGAACCUGUACCCCCAAAAACAAC